rnacentral:rRNA from 1 species
AUCUACGGCCAUACCACCCUGAACGCACCCGAUCUCGUCUGAUCUUGGAAGACAGAAAUGGGAAACUAGCAUACUUAGUCAGGCCAGAUA